rnacentral:rRNA from 1 species
UUUAACUGAGCGUUCAGUUACUUGACGUAGACCCGAAACCGGGCGACCUACCCAUGAGCAGGAUGAAGCGAAAGUAAAAUUUCGUGGAGGUCCGAACCCACGAGCGUUGAAAAGCUCGGGGAUGACUUGUGGGUAGCGGUGAAAUUCCAAUCGAGCCCGGAGAUAGCUGGUUCUCCCCGAAAUAGCUUUAGGGCUAGCCUCAAGGUGAGAGAUACGGAGGUAGAGCACUGAAUGUCCUAGGGGGUAUUGCACCUACCGAAGACUAUCAAACUCCGAAUGCCGUCAUCUUAUACUUGGGAGUCAGACUGUGGGUGAUAAGAUUCAUAGUCGAAAGGGCAACAGCCCAGAUCGUCAGCUAAGGUCCCUAAAUGUAAGUUAAGUGGUAAAGGAUGUGGGAUUGCACAGACAACCAGGAUGUUGGCUUAGAAGCAGCCACUCAUUCAAAGAGUGCGUAAUAGCUCACUGGUCGAGUGAUCCUGCGCCGAAGAUUUCCGGGGCUAAAACUUACUACCGAAGCUACGGCAUCAGUAAUGAUGGGUAGGGGAGCUUC